rnacentral:lncRNA from 1 species
UCCAAAUUUGUAAAUAUUUUCCUAACAAACCCUUAAUUUAUUUGUUGAGCAUAUUAGUGUCUGUUUCGUUUACCUAUUUUUAAAUAUGCAAGUUUUGUUUAGUCUUAUAGUACUUAUGAUAACCCAAAAAUAUUUUAAUUAUAAUACUCAAAUUAACAAUGUAAGAGCCCAUUUUUGCCCGGGCCCAAUAACAAAUAACCCACAAAAAAAUAAUGCCCACAGUCCAAAAUUAUCUUACGAGCCCAAAAUAUAACAGCCCAAAGCCCAACAAACUAAUUUUUUUUUCAGCAAAAACCCUAACCCUAGCCUCCAAGCGCCGCAACCUUUACUGCCCAUGUGUGCCGCUCCACCUCCUCACGCACACGCCCUGCCACCACCGUCGGUCUGACACCUGCAAAAAGGAGACCCACACGCAACAGUAAAAUAGCCAAGCAACAAGACGCCAAGGAAAAUAGAAAUCAAGGGUUUGUAACGUGGCUAUAAAGGCCAAGAUAAUCUUGUUGUAAUUUUUUUACGCACACCAGUGAAUUGAAACUCAGAAACCAAAUUCUAAAGGUUGAUAUUUUUUUCUUUUGCAAACUGUUCUUUUCGUUUUUCUUUCUGUUAUUCUUUCUAUUUACUUUUUUUUUUAAAAAAUCUAUAAUAAAAAAGGUUAGCAAAUAAGAUAAAAAAAAGAAAAAGGAAAGAAAUACCUGAAUCGGCCCUUGGACCGGCCGGCGUUGGUCCAUUGCCGUCGUCGGAUUCGGGCUCGAGAGGGGGCCAAAGACCUUGUUUUCUCCUUGACUUCCCUUUUCAAAGUUACGGCGCUCUGAAUAUGCCUCAAAAGCACGGAUCGGGGAUUCCGUAGCGCGACGCCGACCAUCGGCCAUGGCGGCGAUUAGGAGCGGUCGAGAAAAGGGGUUGAGGGGAUUUGGGAUCCUCAGUUUUUUUAAAAAGAAAGAAAUGGGGGCUGAUUUCUCUUUUUUAGGGUUUUAUUUUUUU